GCCCCUCACUCUGCUGGCCUAUUGGAGAAUGUGUGCUGAUUCCCAGAAGAGCCUCAUGCCCUUUCUGCCUCCUGCCCAGCUUCCCUCUCUGCUGGUCACUCAUUCUUCUCUCUCCUGCUGCCAUAUGAAAAAGGACCCGUUUCCUUCCCCUUCUGCCAUGAUUGGACCUGGGAGUGCGACAUGGUGGCCACAGGAGAAGAGGGCUCUCAUCUAGACCUUCUGACUGUCCUCUGGAGCUUCCUGGUGUCCAUGCGGGGCUGCUGCUCUGGGCUGGCCCCAGGGCCUUUGGCCGGUGUCCAUGAGACCCGGAAUUCCAGCAACCGGUUUGACAACUCCUACAGAGAAACAGGAUCCACAUAAGGAUACAGCUUCUUCAUAUCCCUGUCCCAUGACUGCACCCUGCGUUCUUCAACCAAUCAAUGUGUCAGGCCUCUGAGCCCAAGCCUGCACGUAUACAUCCAGAUGGCAUGAAGUAACUGAGGAAUCACAAAAGAAGUGAAACUGGCCGGUUCCUGCCUUAACUGAUGACAUUACCUUGUGAAAUUCCUUCUCCUGGCUCAUCUGGGCUCAGAAGCUCCUCCACUGAGCACCUUGUGACCCCCCACCCCUGCCUGCCAGAGAACAACCCCCUUUGACUGUAAUUUUCCACUACCUACCCAAAUCCUAUAAAAUGGCCCCACCCCACCUCCCUUCACUGACUCUAUUUUCGGACUCCGCCCGCCUGCACCCAGGUGAAAUAAACAGCCUUGUUGCUCACACAAAGCCUGUUUGGUGGUCUCUCCACACGGAUGCAUGUGGCACAAUGAUCCCCACACUUCACCCCACUCCAAAUCCCC
rnacentral:lncRNA from 1 species